AGAUAUUUCUCAUUAAACCCAGGACCAUAAAAUUGUCAUGGCUCCACCUUUUUUCUGGUUUGAGUCAUCCAUCUGCAAUUAACUAAGUACAGGGGUAGACAGUCUGACGACCUCAAGGGCAGGAGGCGAUCUCCCUCCUCCAUCCUUACACCCCUGGAGAAGGAUCUGCUCUGCACACAGCACAAGAAGUAUUGGACACAAUCCUCUUCAACUCACUCACGGAGAUGAACCACAGCCUUAGAGACGCACAAAAAUGCUUACAACACAAGGCUGACUCGGACACUGGGCUGCUCAGAGACCAUUUCAAGGAGAGCAUGCUGUUUACUGUCAAGUCUGAAAAAUGAAGAAUCUGAGUCAUGAAGAAGUGACCUGACUUGCCUCAGCUGUGCAGUGAAACUGAACUUCCAGCCCAGCCCUGGACAAGCUCUGAGGACUUCCUGAUAUCUUCCAGUCCAUGCAGGACCUCCCAAAGCAAAUUUUUCACUCCUGGCUAUAGCUUGGGGCUUCCCUGGUGGCUCAGAAUGU